UUUUGGGAGCUUGCUCUCAAAAGUUAGCGGCGGACGGGUGAGUAACACGUGGGCAACCUGCCUAUAAGACUGGGAUAACUUCGGGAAACCGGAGCUAAUACCGGAUAAUUCAUAUCUACUCAUGUAGAUGUGCUGAAAGACGGUUUACGCUGUCACUUAUAGAUGGGCCCGCGGCGCAUUAGCUAGUUGGUGAGGUAACGGCUCACCAAGGCGACGAUGCGUAGCCGACCUGAGAGGGUGAUCGGCUACACUGGGACUGAGACACGGCCCAGACUCCUACGGGAGGCAGCAGUAGGGAAUCUUCCGCAAUGGACGAAAGUCUGACGGAGCAACGCCGCGUGAGUGAUGAAGGUUUUCGGA
rnacentral:rRNA from 1 species